ACUCCUACGGGAGGCAGCAGUGGGGAAUAUUGCACAAUGGGCGCAAGCCUGAUGCAGCCAUGCCGCGUGUGUGAAGAAGGCCUUCGGGUUGUAAAGCACUUUCAGUCGUGAGGAAGGUAGUGUAGUUAAUAGCUGCAGUAUUUGUACGUUAGCGACAGAAGAAGCACCGGCUAACUCCGUGCCAGCAGCCGCGGUAAGUACGGAGGGUGCGAGCGUUAAUCGGAAUUACUGGGCGUAAAGCGCAUGCAGGUUGGUUUGUUAAGUCAGAUGUGAAAGCCCGGGGUCUCAACCGUCGGAAUAGCAUUUGAAACUGGCAGACUAGAGUACUGUAGAGGGGGUUAGAAUUUCAGGUGUAGCGGUGAAAUGCGUAGAGAUCUGAAGG
rnacentral:rRNA from 1 species